rnacentral:rRNA from 1 species
GGAAUAUUGCGCAAUGGACGAAAGUCUGACGCAGCCACGCCGCGUGAGUGAGGAAGGCCUUCGGGUUGUAAAGCUCUGUCAUCCGGGAAAAACGGCUAUCUGGGGAAAGUUCAGGUAGCGUGAUGGUACCGGAGGAGGAAGCACCGGCAAACUCUGUGCCAGCAGCCGCGGUAAUACAGAGGGUGCAAGCGUUGUUCGGAAUUACUGGGCGUAAAGCGUGCGUAGUCGGUAUUGAGAGUCACGGGUGAAAUCCCAGGGCUUAACCCUGGAACUGCCUGUGAGACCUCAGUACUAGAGUGUGAGAGGGGAUAGUGGAAUACCCAGUGUAGCGGUGAAAUGCGUAGAGAUUGGGUGGAACACCGGUGGCGAAGGCGGCUAUCUGGCUCACAACUGACGAUCAGGCACGAAAGCGUGGGGAGCAAACA